ACCUACGGGACGCAGCAGUGAGGAAUAUUGGUCAAUGGGAGAGAUCCUGAACCAGCCAAGCCGCGUGAGGGAAGACGGCCCUAUGGGUUGUAAACCUCUUUUGUCGGAGAACAAAACCCGGGACGUGUCCCGGACUGCGUGUAUCCGAAGAAAAAGCAUCGGCUAACUCCGUGCCAGCAGCCGCGGUAAUACGGAGGAUGCGAGCGUUAUCCGGAUUUAUUGGGUUUAAAGGGUGCGCAGGCGGAAGCGCAAGUCAGCGGUAAAAUUGAGAGGCUCAACCUCUUCCCGCCGUUGAAAC
rnacentral:rRNA from 1 species